GAUCCGGUGGCCAUGCCCGCCGUGCCGGGAGGUGCUGCGGGAUCUGUGCCGCUGUGUGCCUCCCUCCCUCUCUCCUUCCCUCCCUGCCCCCAUCAGAGAGGCCUUGCCAGGCCGAGUCUCCGUCGGCUGGUUGAGACUUGAUUCAGAGUAGUUUCUAGACUCUCGAGACAAGCUGGGACAGCAGCAUUUCUGUUGGCAGGAUGCUGUGUGCAUGCACACGGUGUGUGCCCGACAGGCAGGGUCACAGUCACUGAGUCUUCUGUGACCAGCGUGAGAUGUGGAGCCUCUUUGAGGAGAAUUUCUUGCAGCAGUUGACUCUUGUGGCUGGGAUUUUUCAUCUGUGAGGAGUGUCUUUCCAGUGUCUCCCUUUUCUGUAGCAAGUAAAAGUGUCAAGAAGACUGUUGGCCAUUACAGCAUUGUGUGUGGAAAGCAUUUUUGUGACAGAGCAGAGAAUGCACGUCACCAUUUUGCAAAGGAGCCAGUAAUCCUGAGUGAGGCUUUCAUUGCCUGCUGAUCUCAAGUGGGGAAUUUGUGCUUUUCCACUGCCUGCUGGGCUGCCCAGAAGAGACUGAGAGCAGAGACUCUCUGCUUCUCCUUUUAAAUUCUUGCCACAACCAACAAGGUCUGAAGAGGUUUAUUUGAGACACUAAUUGUGGAUCUUGUAUUCCUCUUUUGCCCAAAUCUGAUAACUUUAUCAAAAUGAUGCAAAGCUGUACACUUGAGAAGGGGUAAAAAGGCCAUCCCCAAGGUUCACAAAUGACAGUAGCAGUCAGAGAGGAUUUUUUUUGCUUCAACAUAUACAUAUUUUUUGUUUCGACUGUGUCUGGUGCAUAGAUGUAACUGUCUCCCUUUGCAUUUUGGGCUCUGCUGCUGAGGAAGAAAAAUACACUGUAAGUGCAGAUGAACCACCAGAAAUUAAAAAGCCUACCAGUGCUGGAUUUUAUCAAGACAGUAUCUCGGUGUGUUGCAUGUGCUGGCUGGCUGGAGGUCCCAUCCCUGGCAAACAGAUGGUGUAUGGUGAGCUUUUAAGUAGCCAGUUGCAAGGCUGGAGGUGACCAGGCUGCAGGAUGCUG
rnacentral:lncRNA from 1 species